CAAGAAGAUGCCUGAUAAAGGAUUAUUUUGAUGUAAUAAAUCAUGUUUUUUUAAACUCUUCUU
rnacentral:tRNA from 1 species